CUAGCAGUAAACGAUGCCUACUGGGUCGGAGGUCUUCUGACAGAGUUCCGGCUGUAACAAAAGCGUUAAGUAGGCCGCCUGGGGAGUACGGUCGCAAGGCUAAAACUCAAAGGAAUUGACGGGGGCUCACACAAGCGGUGGAGCAUGUUGCUUAAUUCGAUGCAACGCGAAGAACCUUAUCCUGGGCUUGACAUGCAUGGAUGCCCUCCUGGAAACAGGUCGGGCUGCCCUUCGGGGUGAAACAUGCACAGGUGC
rnacentral:rRNA from 1 species